UGUCACAUGAUCCGCGUAACUCCCAUGGAGCUCUCAGAUGAGAGGCUUCCCAAAACCCGAAGGAAGGUGAUGGUGGUUUCCUCACAUCCUCUGCUGCCCCCCCACCCCCCGCCCACGCUCUCUUAUGUUUCUUGUACUUUGUCAGGUCUGCUUCCUUUUCAGACCCUACUUAGGUUGCAGCUUUUACCUGGAGAAAACAGAGGAGAAGUGUUGAGUGAAAGGCAAUAAUCCAGUGUUACCUUCCCCAUCUUUUGACUGCUAGGAUGGCUGAUGCAAAGUCUCCCGAGAGAUCUGUGGAAUUAAUCUCUUGUCAUUGACUUCACAUUGGAUUGAAGAAGGUAUGGCUCAGGCUUGUUACCAAGGAAAAGAGCCCCAUGAGACCAUCCAGUUAAACUUACUGGCUGCCGAGAGUGCUGUAGUAAGUCUGGAAUGGAGGCAGAAAGACAGAGAAACAAUGCUAACCAUCCAGCAUUACAUGCAGAGAAGAUGGGUUUCCUGGUGUGCUCCUUGUGAAUAAACAGCUCCGGGUGUGUGACAGCCAUCAGUUCUAUUUGUCUUUAAUACGGUCAUCCUUAGACAGCAUCUGGAUGGAAUGGAAACUGCCUUCUAGGUAUUGGAGUCUAGAUUCGAGGUCAUGAUUUGCUGAUUUUGAGUCCUCAGCAAUCAACCGUAUGGACCUAUCUAAUCUGUCAGCACUGUACUGUAAAUUAUCUUCCAAACAUUUGAAUCUAGACUCAAAUUUGUGAUCUGCUACCUUAGAUGCUUCAAUAAUUGAUUGAAUGGCAUUGUCCAAUUCUUCAACCCUAUCCUGGGUAUUUUGCACCUUUGCAUCUAGUUUCUGGGUCACCGAGCCUAUCUGAGUUUCUAGCUGGCUACAGAUAUUCUUUAGUUCAUCACGGUCCUCUGACAGCCUAGCCUCUAAUGCCUCAUACAUGGAGGAUCUCUCUGUGUUCAUCUUAUCAUAAAUAUGCUGCAUCUCAUCUUGGGUAACAGAGAACUCUGUCUUUAGUGUAUUGGACACAGAGCCAAGCUUAUCAUCCAAUUUCUGUUCCACUUGCUGCACAAUUGUGGCCUGACCUAAUCUGUUCUCUAAAACCUCAUUGUGUAAAGCUGUUAUUUCCUGCAAGGAGGUGGUGAGGUUAUCUUUGUCCCUGUUCCUGAGGAUUCUGGCUAGGAAUGUUAUUUGUACCAGCAAGCUAACUGCCAUUACUGCAUAUAGGCUGGUAAUUGGCAGAUUGGCAUCCUCCUCAAACAUUGAAUUCAUGUAAUAAACAAAAAUAUUACCAAUAUUUUGAAAAAGAUGCGGCUGUACACCUGUGGUGGCUAGGGGAAGCUGCAGGCCCUGCUGAAAGCUGAGGCCUCCUCGGCUCUAGGGCAGGAGGCCUCCUGGCACGGGUAUGUGGAAGUCCGAGCCAGUCUGGUGCCUGCAGCUAGAAACUGCGACAGUAACCGUGGGGAGGUCUGUGGAAGUCUCCCAGCUGGGUGGUCGGUUCUGAGCAGCUCAAUGGCAACCGGAAUGCGCUGUGUGGUGUAGCGGGUCUGCUGUGAGCCGGGAGCACCUGUGGAGAGGGCCCUUUCCCAGCUUAGGCCGCCUUCCCAGUGGAACCCACAGGCUGUCCCAAAUGGGCCCUAGGUUUCCAAUAUCACACUCCUGACAACCAGAUAAUGCAGGAAAAUUACCAAUAUGGAGCCAGAUAAAAAUACAAGUGAUUUUAAUAGGGAAAAGCCUUACUUACAGAGCAACCUAGCCAGCCGGAGGGCAGCAGUCUGUACAGCAAACCAAAAGUGAAACCGAAAGCAGAACUCCACGUAAGCAUCCCUCACUCUAAGUCCCCUGACCACGCCCAGGCAUGGUCAGGGACCCCUGUAGCCAGCCUCCAAGCAGAUGUAGCUACAGCAUCCCCUACACCAGGCUUGUUUUCGGCUAGCACUUAUAACUUAAAUGAACUCAUUUCUAUUCAUCUAUGCACUGUCCCGAGGUUCAUUUACCUCAUCUAUGAACUUCCCAUGCAUGUUGUUUCUUC
ensembl:lncRNA